GUUUCUAUCACUCUUGUUUAGAAUCUCGGCCUGUAAUCAUCAAAAUUUUUUGGUCGUCCUAGGUUAUUUCUUUGUUUGGUUCAAAAACAUUAAUUAACCAUCAUGUGUUGCGGACCCCUUGGAUUCUGCGGACCCUGUAGCCCUUGCGGCGGUCCUUGCGGACCUUGUGGACCCUGUGGUCCUUGCGGUUCCUGCUGUGCUCCUUGUGGAUCUUGUUGUGGACCUUGCGGCCCUUGCGGUCCUUGCGGUCCUUGCUGCGGGGGUUGUGGACCAUGCGGCCCCUGUGGACCUUGCUGUGGGCCCUGUAGACCAUAUUGCGGGUGCUGAAUAAUACCCCUUAAAAUAUCAGAUCCUGUAAACCACAAAGUGUAGCUUAGGACUGAACAAUAAAAUAAGUGCCUUUAAAAAUAA